rnacentral:rRNA from 1 species
GAGGGUUUGAUCCUGGCUCAGAUUGAACGCUGGCGGCAGGCCUAACACAUGCAAGUCGAGCGGAUGAAGGGAGCUUGCUCCUGGAUUCAGCGGCGGACGGGUGAGUAAUGCCUAGGAAUCUGCCUGGUAGUGGGGGAUAACGUCCGGAAACGGGCGCUAAUACCGCAUACGUCCUGAGGGAGAAAGUGGGGGAUCUUCGGACCUCACGCUAUCAGAUGAGCCUAGGUCGGAUUAGCUAGUUGGUGGGGUAAAGGCCUACCAAGGCGACGAUCCGUAACUGGUCUGAGAGGAUGAUCAGUCACACUGGAACUGAGACACGGUCCAGACUCCUACGGGAGGCAGCAGUGGGGAAUAUUGGA